rnacentral:rRNA from 1 species
GACGAACCGAGCAAACGUUAUUCGGAAUCACUGGGCUUAAAGGGCGCGUAGGCGGGCCAUCAAGUCUGUGGUGAAAUCCUCCAGCUCAACUGGAGAACGGCCGUGGAUACUGGUGGUCUCGAGGAAGGUAGGGGCAUCUGGAACUGGUGGUGGAGCGGUGAAAUGCGUUGAUAUCAUCAGGAACUCCGGUGGCGAAGGCGAGAUGCUGGACCUUUUCUGACGCUGAGGCGCGAAAGCCAGGGGAGCGAACGGG